rnacentral:rRNA from 1 species
GUACGCUAUUCAGAGUUUGAUCCUGGCUCAGGAUGAACGCUGGCGGCGUGCCUAACACAUGCAAGUCGAACGGAACUUUUACGGAUUGAGACUUCGGUCGAUUGAGGUUUAAGUUUAGUGGCGGACGGGUGAGUAACGCGUGAGUAACCUGCCUUUCACAGGGGGAUAACGUUUGGAAACGAACGCUAAUACCGCAUAACGUAGCGGGGUCGCAUGGCUCUGCUACCAAAGAUUUUAUCGGUGAAAGAUGGACUCGCGUCCGAUUAGGUAGUUGGUGAGGUAACGGCCCACCAAGCCGACGAUCGGUAGCCGGACUGAGAGGUUGAACGGCCACAUUGGGACUGAGACACGGCCCAG